GGCCAAUCCAUUAUGGGAGAGUAAUAGGAGUGUGGCACACAAUUACCAGGAGUUUAUUACAGAAUUUAAACUUACGGUUGAACCAUUAGACCCUUCUACUGCCCUGAUGCAUAUCAGACAAUGGAACUGGUCUAUCUCAGAGUAUGCCAUAGAAUUUUGUACCCUAGCUUCCGAGGUAGACUGGACUAAUAGUGGGUUAAUCUCUGC